CUCUGUGACUCCUACGGGAGGCAGCAGUGGGGAAUAUUGCACAAUGGGCGCAAGCCUGAUGCAGCAACGCCGCGUGAGCGAUGAAGGCCUUCGGGUCGUAAAGCUCUGUCCUCAAGGAAGAAUAAAUGACGGUACUUGAGGAGGAAGCCCCGGCUAACUACGUGCCAGCAGCCGCGGUAAUACGUAGGGGGCAAGCGUUAUCCGGAAUCACUGGGCGUAAAGGGUGCGUAGGCGGUUUUUCAAGUCAGAAGUGAAAGGCUAUGGCUCAACCAUAGUAAGCUUUUGAAACUGUUAAACUUGAGUGCAGGAGAGGAAAGUGGAAUUCCUAGUGUAGAGGUGAAAUUCGUAGAUAUUAGGAGGAACACCAGUGGCGAAGGCGACUUUCUGGACUGUAACUGACGCUGAGGCACGAAAGCGUGGGGAGCGAACAGGAUUAGAUACCCUGGAG
rnacentral:rRNA from 1 species